rnacentral:rRNA from 1 species
GUGGGGGAUAUUGCACAAUGGAGGAAACUCUGAUGCAGCGACGCCGCGUGAGUGAAGAAGUAUUUCGGUAUGUAAAGCUCUAUCAGCAGGGAAGAUAAUGACAGUACCUGACUAAGAAGCCCCGGCUAACUACGUGCCAGCAGCCGCGGUAAUACGUAGGGGGCAAGCGUUAUCCGGAUUUACUGGGUGUAAAGGGAGCGUAGACGGAAUGGCAAGUCUGAAGUGAAAUCCUGCGGCUUAACUGCAGAAUUGCUUUGGGAACUAUCUAUCUGGAGUUUUGGAGAGGUAGGCUGAAUUCCUGGUGUAGCCGUAAAAUGCGUAGAUAUAAGGAAGAACACCAGUGGCGAAGGCGACGAUCUGGGCCUGAACUGACGCUGAGUAGCGAAAGCUAGGGGAGCAAACGGGAUUAGAAACCCGGGUAGUCC